AUGUUCGUUUGGCUUAUGCUGCAGACAGCAGGGGCAAUUUGCUUAAUGUCCUGCCGAGGUUGAGGCCUGAAGAAAGUUAAGUAGUAAAGAUUUAAAGGAUUAAUUUACCUUUUUGUCCUCUUCUUAUCCGACCUCAGCCCCGGCAAAAUGCUGGGGGUUUCUUUUUUGGGCA
rfam:Cyanobacterium endosymbiont of Epithemia turgida isolate EtSB Lake Yunoko DNA, complete genome.